AAAUGAUCCAAAUGGAUUCUUUAUAUCCCAGUUUCAUUCUCUUCAUCUCUAUCGUCACCUUCAAAACCCUAACGCCGCUACUCAUCAUCUUCAGCAAAUCCAAAAAUCUUCUUCAGCAAAUCGACAAAUGCCAAUUAGGGUUUUUCACUCGAUUAGGGUUUUUCCACAUAAACUGGAUCCAUAUGCGGUACUGUGACGCUUCCACAUUCCACAUCAUCUUCAUCUUCUUCUGGUUUCUUCCCCUCUGUAUUCUCCAGCUUAUUCAGGAAUCAAUUUAAUAGUUUUCCUCAACAAAUCCUUAAUAAGAUUACUUUCUGCCGCCUAAUUAUCCAGCCACUGAUUUCAGAUAUGCGUGGAGUAUUUGAUUGAAGGUUCAUAUCUUGAAGUUGACAACAUUUGAAAUGGUGACAAUGGAUUUGUAGCUGCUAACCAGUAUCACCAAAUAUCUGGAAUCUAUCUUUUUUAUUAAUUUUUCUCUAAUCUAUAUAAAAAUGUUACUUUCAGUUCUGAAAAACUAUUUGAAUCUGAUUAACCAACAGUUAGAGACAUUUUUUUCUCUAUAUCAUGGUCAAUAAUUCUUCUAGGUUCGAUAUGCAACUUAAAAAUGUUAAAAAAAUACCGAAUAUAUAUGUUUGUUUAUCAAAAUCUUGCAUUUUUUGUUCUUUCUGACUUUAUCGGAUGUUCCCCGUUUUUAUGUGGGCCAUAUGGAUCACCUGUGGGAUACUAAUUCGGUUGUAGAUGCAAUGGAUUGUGCCUUGGAGCUGAUUAAAAGUUAGAGAAAACUUUCAUUUUGACAUGGAAAACAGUGAAUUACGCUACGCCUCAGCAGCAGCAGGAAUCCGAGAGGGUAUAUAUUUGUCGAAUAUUUUGAGGAAUGUGAAGUUUUGAUACUCUCUUAACAUGAUCGCAAAGGUAUGCAUGCUUUUCGAUCCAUUUCUCAACGCUUACGGUUGUAAAAAUGGUAUUCAGUUAGUAUAAUAUGAGAUUAUAGUAAAUUGGUUAGUACCAUAUGGUUGAAAUGACGAACAAAGUCUUUAAUUAGUUUUUAGGGUUACAGACGCAUCUAAAUAUUUGUAUUUGUGAUUAUUAUGUAAGUGGACAUAUGUAUGAGUUAUAGUUCUUAUCUUUGAUUUUUGAAUUGACUUUAAUGAGUGUCGUCUGAUUCUGAAAGUUUACAUAUAGAUUGGAGCUAAAAUUUAUAAACAUUUUAAAUGGAACUAUUGAAGAUUUCAAAUAUCUUUGUUUUUCUGGUAAUUGAUGGGUCGGUGGCUUAGAACGUGAUUUGUGGUACGCUGUGAUGGAUUAUGAUGAUGAUGAAAAUGAUUGUGAUGAUGCUGAAGGUGAGAGUAUGUGCUUUUUAACUGUGAAUAAAUUUGUAAUUCAUUGUUUAUUUGAUUAUUUUUGUUUCAUCAUCAGAUAACUGAGGUUCAAUCGAAAAGCUCUAUUGUCGGUUAAUCUCUAUGGCCUAUUCAACGUCAUUCAUGCUCAUCGUCUACAGGUGGCCUUCAAGGAUGAAGGAGGAAUCACUGUUGUUCAUUUAAGUCGCGUAUUCAGAAGAUAUUGUUGAUGUCAUGGAUGUACCGACUCCUUUUGGCACUGCAUUAUGUAUGGCAGCUGCCAUAAAGACAGACCAUGAAGCCAAGUGUCUAUUUAAUUUCGUUGCAGGUGGUAGGGAACUUGUGCAGAUACUGCUUGCUGCUGGAGUUGAUGCUACUGUGCAAGACACCCAGCAUGGGCGGAUAGCUUUGCAUACUGAUGCAAUGACCAAACAGCGUUGGUUAAGAUCAUUCUUGAUGCUGGAGUUGAUGUGAACAUAAGAAAUGUGCAAAAACACAAUACCUCUACAUGUGGCAUUGGUAAGAGGAUCCAAUCAUGUGUUGGAAUGUGCAGAAACAAAUUGUAAUAUGCAGCAUCCUAUGAUUCCACCAUUCCAGUUCCUUAUCCAACAAUAUUCCCCGCCAUAAGUUUAUGUUCAUUUUGGCACACCUGUGGUAGUCCGCCAGAAGGUAGCAUCAAGUUUAAGAAAUGACAGUACCACUACUCAAAGGUAUUUCUUGGUCAAUGAAUUUGAUAGGCCUCUUUUUUACCACAUGACAUGGAUGUUAGGCAAAAGAGAAGGGUUGGCUGGAAGUGAUGGAAACAUAACAUAUGACUUGAAGUCUUAUGGAUCAUGUUGUGGAAUAUGUGCUUUUGUAUCGGUGAUUAGUUCCAAAAGUGGUCAUACUGGUAGCGUUACAUAAUUUUAUUUAAGGUUGACGAAGAACCCAAGCUGCUUGGCAUGGUUAUUAUUAUUUUUUAGUUAGCAAAUUUUGGAUGCGUUUUAUGUUUUGUUGGAAACUUUAAAUGUUAUUAGCUAAAAAUAUAUUAUUUUAAUCA